GAUGAACGCUGGCGGCGUGCUUAACACAUGCAAGUCGAACGGGAAACCUUUUAUUGAAGCUUCGGCAGAUUUAGCUGGUUUCUAGUGGCGGACGGGUGAUUAACGCGUGGGUAACCUGCCUUAUACAGGGGGAUAACAACCAGAAAUGGUUUCUAAUACCGCAUAAGCGCACAGGACCGCAUGGUCCGGUGUGAAAAACUCCGGUGGUAUAAGAUGGACCCGCGUUGGAUUAGCUAGUUGGCAGGGUAACGGCCUACCAAGGCGACGAUCCAUAGCCGGCCUGAGAGGGUGAACGGACACAUUGGGACUGAGACACGGCCCAGACUCCUACGGGAGGCAGCAGUGGGGAAUAGUGCACAAUGGGGGAAACGCUGAUGCAGCGACGCCGCGUGAAGGAAGAAGUAUCUCGGUAUGUAAACUUCUAUCAGCAGGGAAGAUAGUGACGGUACCUGACUAAGAAGCCCCGGCUAACUACGUG
rnacentral:rRNA from 1 species